rnacentral:misc_RNA from 1 species
AUGGAAGAUCUUGGCAACCAGCCAAAGUAAACUUGCACGAGUCCAUUCACACGUCCGACCUGGUCCUCGAGCUACCAAGAGUGAGCUCCAGCUCAUCUGAUCCACAUUCCUCGUGAAUCUUUUCUCCCUCCCAUGGCUUCACCAUCGCAGGGGGGUUGCCAUUGCUGCUGCUCCCGAAUGCAAAAUCAUCCGAAGUGCCAUCCGACAUGUGAACAUCAG